UGACGUUCUGUUACCUCGCUGCAGGUGAGGUCAGGUUCGUCUCUGCCAAUCAUCUCAAGCGCUCUCGCGGACAAGACCAUUAUGACGAUCAGCAGCCACAGCGUCGGGACUGAAGCACGUGGAGCCAUUUCACAGGUUGUCUCCUACUCCCCACGUCCAAACACACACAGCCCGUCACCCCUAUGCAACCAGCAACAGUAAUGCAUGACCGCGAUGAUUAUUUGGAAAAACUAGUGCAGCCCAUUCCUCCUCGAUCACGUCAGUAGUCUGUUGUAACGCUCCAGGGUUUCUGUUUCACACCUCCUUUCCUGAUCAUUCAAAGCCCAGGGAGUGGGCGUGACGAGGCGCAGUGCCAACUUCUCAGGUGGAACGGACUGACUAUCAUUAAUGUGUGUCAGUUUGGUUUUUCAAGACAUUUUGAUCACAACAUAAGUCUCCUGAAUAAAACCCCUGAAAUCCUGUGGCAAACAGUACCGGGGGACACCUCUGAAGAUCUUUGGGAUGUCCUUGCUGUGGCCAAGUCCCUGGAAGUAGACAAGGGCCACUCCUUGACCUUUGCCCUGUUGCAGUGCCCCCUCCAGGCAGGCCAGAGUAGCCAUAAACACCGGUGCUAUCACUGUAGAAGGCUCCUUCUGGGAGUAGCAGUCUAUAUCAUCACAUUGUUUAACUUUUUCUCCUACUACUUUCUCACCCUUGUUUUUCUCAAGUCUUUUUCCAUCUAGUUGCCUCUCCUGUCUUUUAGUUGUCCUCUCCUCCCUCCACGCCUCAUGUGUCCUUUUUGCUUCAGGGCUCCAGACAAUCAGCACUUUUCCUUGAGCUUUGUGCACAGCUUCCCACUGCCCAUAUAGCCAGGGAAGCGGACCCAGAUCUGCAACUCCAGUUGCAGCCCCGGCUUGUGUUUGAGAGUUUUGGGCCCACAAAGCCAUGUUCACUGUGGCACUCAGGUCCCCCUGCAGGAUUGAGGCUAAUGCACACACAGCAGAGACAUGGGCUGCCUGCUCUGAUGAGCAGACCAGCAACACUGGCUUCUGGAUGGAGAGCCAUCCUGGAAACACAGGGAAAGACAGAGGAAGUAAAAAGGUUUAAUUGAAUUUCAAUUGAUCUUUUAUUUUUGUAUAUUCAGUACAGGUGCUUUAAGUCCAACACCAUCACAGAAAUCAACUGAAAUCUGAAGAUGGAGACAAGCAGCCAGCCAGGGACACACCCAAAAAAACAUUCAGUUACCAUAUUAACCAGAAUAUAAUAUGUGUUUAUUCUUCAUCUAAAUACAUCUGAAUAGAAGUGGGAUCGCCUUACAUUCAGGAAUUAGUCAUUUAAAUGCCAGUGUUUGGUAAAACUUUGGACAGCUCCACUAUUAACUAAAAGUUUCAUAUCACGGAUGAAUAAGUUCAUUAUUUAUCGAAGGAUUUAGAAACCAAAUAUUUAAACUUCAGCUGGAGUUCAGAUUUCAAACCCACGCUGCUGACUGCUGCAGUGACUUCACCCAGACGUGGUUUUUCUGACUCCCGUAAUGCCUCUUUUCUGGCUGCCAAACAACACAGUUGUAUGUUUCUACCUCUGUUACUAUGGUGUUGAUCUCUAUCUCAGACAUAUUUCCUGUUUUUUUGGCCAUAGAGCAUCCCUCCAUGUUGAAAUUCUGUGGGCGAUCCCGGCUGAACUUUGAAUAAUUAGGCGCGUUAUAUUUAAAUAACGAUUGGUCAGAUACGAAUGUUUCAUGAAUCACACGUGUCUCCUGUCGUAAGACCAAGUCUGCAUUAUUUAUUUCCCUGUCUUCUUUACUGUAUAUUCUGUACUUUGGAGAGGUUGACUGUAAAACUGAAUUGCCUUUUUGGGACUAAUAAAGUAUUCUGAAUCUGAA